GACAGAGGGUGCAAACGUUGUUCGGAUUUACUGGGCGUAAAGCGUGUGUAGGCGGCUUGGCAAGUUGGAUGUGAAAUCCCGCGGCUCAACCGUGGACGUGCAUCCAAAACUGCUUCGCUAGAGUCUCGGAGAGGAAGGUGGAAUGCUUGGUGUAGAGGUGAAAUUCGUAGAUAUCAAGCAGAACACCUGCGGCGACGGCGGCCUUCUGGACGAUGACUGACGCUGAGACACGAAAGCGUGGGGAGCGAACAGG
rnacentral:rRNA from 1 species